rnacentral:tRNA from 1 species
GGGGUUGUGGCUCAGUGGUAGAGUGCUUGCCUUGUGCGUGUGAGGCACUGGGUUCAAUUCUCAGCACCA